rnacentral:rRNA from 1 species
ACGGGUGAGUAACACGUAUGCAACCUGCCCGUAAUCGGGGGAUAACCCGGAGAAAUUCGGACUAACACUCCAUGCACCUGAAAUGUCACAUGACGAAUCAGGUAAACGCAAGGAUUACGGAUGGGCAUGCGGAUGAUUAGCUAGUUGGAGGGGUAACGGCCCGCCAAGGCGACGAUCAUUAGGGGUUCUGAGAGGAAGGUCCCCCACAUUGGAACUGAGAAACGGUCCAAACUCCUACGGGAGGCAGCAGUGAGGAAUAUUGGUCAAUGGGCGAGAGCCUGAACCAGCCAAGUCGCGUGAAGGAAGAAGGUCUUAUGGAUUGUAAACUUCUUUAGCAGAGGGAUAAAGGUUAUUACGAGAUAAUAAUUUGCAGGUACUCUGCGAAAAAGGAUCGGCUAACUCCGUGCCAGCAGCCGCGGUAAUACGGAGGAUUCGAGCGUUAUCCGGAUUUAUUGGGUUUAAAGGGUGCGUAGGCGGAUUUGUAAGUCAGUGGUGAAAGUUUCCGGCUUAACCGGGAGAAUGCCGUUGAGACUGCAGGUCUUGAGUGCAAGCGAGGUAAGUGGAAUGUGUUGUGUAGCGGUGAAAUGCAUAGAUAUAACACAGAACACCGAUUGCGAAGGCAGCUUACUAGUAUGUAACUGACGCUGAGGCACGAAAGCGUGGGGAGCAAACAGGAUUAGAUACCCUGGUAGUCCACGCAGUAAACGAUGAAUACUAGCUGUAUGCGAUAGACAGUAUGCGGCGGAGCGAAAGCAUUAAGUAUUCCACCUGGGGAGUACGUCGGCAACGAUGAAACUCAAAUGAAUUGACGG